rnacentral:rRNA from 1 species
AUUGAACGCUGGCGGCAGGCCUAACACAUGCAAGUCGAGCGAGCGGCGGACGGGUGAGUAAUGUAUGGGGACUGCCCGAUAGAGGGGUAUAACUACUGGAAAAGGUGGCUAAUACCGCAUACUAUCGGAUAACCCAUAUGGGAUUAGCUAGUAGGUGGGGUAAAGGCUCACCUAGGCGACGAUCUCUAGCUGGUCUGAGAGGAUGAUCAGCCACACUGGGACUGAGACACGGCCCAGACUCCUACGGAGGCAGCAGUGGGGAAUAUUGCACAAGGGGCGCAAGCAUGAUGCGGCCAGGCCGCGUGGAUGAAGAAGGCCUUAGGGUGGUAAAGUAGUUGAAGCGGGGAGGCGUUACCCGCAGAAGAAGCACCGGCUAACUCCGUGCCAGCCGCCGCGGUAAUAC